CUGAGAGAGAGAGCAAGAGAGCAGGGAAGAAGGCCAGAGAGAGUCUUAAGCAGACUCCACGCUGAACGCAGAGCCCGAAGCGGGGCUUGAUCUCAAUAUACUGAGAUCAUGACCUGAGCCGAAACCAAGAGUCUGGCACUCAACUGACUGCACCACCCAGGCGCCCCUCAUCACAUGUUUUUUACACGUUAUUGCUGAAACUACAAGGCUGCAUCUUGAUGACAGCAGGCUCAUAAGACCUGAUGAACAGAAAACAGCAGAUCUGCCAGAUGACUUGGGAGUUGAAAUUGUCUGAAUGGAAGUAAGAUAGAAGAAAGCAUCUAAUAAAAUUAAGAUGCUGUCCAGUGUGAAGUAUGUAUAUUCUCUGAACCAAACCCGGAAUACAGGAAACAAAGAA